rnacentral:rRNA from 1 species
GACGAACGCUGGCGGCGUGCCUAAUACAUGCAAGUAGAACGCUGAAGGAGGAGCUUGCUUCUCUGGAUGAGUUGCGAACGGGUGAGUAACGCGUAGGUAACCUGCCUGGUAGCGGGGGAUAACUAUUGGAAACGAUAGCUAAUACCGCAUAACAGUAGAUAUCGCAUGAUAUCUACUUAAAAGGUGCAAUUGCAUCACUACCAGAUGGACCUGCGUUGUAUUAGCUAGUUGGUGAGGUAACGGCUCACCAAGGCGACGAUACAUAGCCGACCUGAGAGGGGGAUCGGCCACACUGGGACGGAGACACGGCCCAGACUCCUACGGGAGGCAGCAGUAGGGAAUCUUCGGCAAGGGACGGAAGUCUGACCGAGCAACGCCGCGUGAGUGAAGAAGGUUUUCGGAUCGUAAAGCUCUGUUGUAAGAGAAGAACGAGUGUGAGAGUGGAAAGUUCACACUGUGACGGUAUCUUACCAGAAAGGGACGGCUAACUACGUG